rnacentral:rRNA from 1 species
GGAUGCGAUCAUACCAGCACUAAUGCACCGGAUCCCAUCAGAACUCCGAAUGUAAGCGUGCUUGGGCGAGAGUAGUACUAGGAUGGGUGACCCCCUGGGAAGUCCUCGUGUUGCAUCCC